rnacentral:rRNA from 1 species
GACGAACGCUGGCGGCGUGCCUAAUACAUGCAAGUCGNGCGAGCGGAACUAACAGAUUUACUUCGGUAAUGACGUUAGGAAAGCGAGCGGCGGAUGGGUGAGUAACACGUGGGGAACCUGCCCCAUAGUCUGGGAUACCACUUGGAAACAGGUGCUAAUACCGGAUAAGAAAGCAGAUCGCAUGAUCNGCUUUUAAAAGGCGGCGUAAGCUGUCGCUAUGGGAUGGCCCCGCGGUGCAUUAGCUAGUUGGUAAGGUAAAGGCUUACCAAGGCGAUGAUGCAUAGCCGAGUUGAGAGACUGAUCGGCCACAUUGGGACUGAGACACGGCCCAAACUCCUACGGGAGGCAGCAGUAGGGAAUCUUCCACAAUGGACGCAAGUCUGAUGGAGCAACGCCGCGUGAGUGAAGAAGGUUUUCGGAUCGUAAAGCUCUGUUGUUGGUGAAGAAGGAUAGAGGUAGUAACUGGCCUUUAUUUGACGGUAAUCAACCAGAAAGUCACGGCUAACUACGUGCCAGCAGCCGCGGUAAUACGUAGGUGGCAAGCGUUGUCCGGAUUUAUUGGGCGUAAAGCGAGCGCAGGCGGAAGAAUAAGUCUGAUGUGAAAGCCCUCGGCUUAACCGAGGAACUGCAUCGGAAACUGUUUUUCUUGAGUGCAGAAGAGGAGAGUGGAACUCCAUGUGUAGCGGUGGAAUGCGUAGAUAUAUGGAAGAACACCAGUGGCGAAGGCGGCUCUCUGGUCUGCNNCUGACGCUGAGGCUCGAAAGCAUGGGUAGCGAACAGG